AGUCUUAUAUUCAAUAAUGAUAUUAAAUUGCAAAUUUAAUGGAAAACUAAACUUUUAAGGCUU
rnacentral:tRNA from 1 species